rnacentral:SRP_RNA from 1 species
GCCGGGCGUGGUGGCGCACGCCUGUAAUCCCAGCUACUUGGGAGGCUGAGGCAGGAGAAUUGCUUGAACCCGGGAGAUGGAGGUUGCAGUGAGCUGAGAUUGCACCAUUGCACUCCAGCCUGGGCAACAGAGCAAGACUCCCUCUCAA